rnacentral:lncRNA from 1 species
GGCGGGGCUGGGGAGCCGUGCGGGUGCCCCGCGCCCAGAGCUGUGCCGACCCUGCUACCCGCGUGGGCCAGCGCCUGCCGCCGCGGCCCGGACCCUACUUCCUCGGUCCCCGAGGGCAGGCGGCUGGGCAGGGGUGAGGGGCCGCGGCGAGGAGGCUCACGGGUCCCCGGUGGGGGACGGAGGCUGCCGGCGUGGUCGCUGCGGACAUUUUGCCGCAGUUGUGCUGGCGGGGCCGCCUCGGAGUCUUGGCUUCCGGGAGCGGCGCACCCGCGGGACCCCUAGGAGUCCGGGCAGCCCUUGGACCUGCAGCGCUGAGCCUGUCGGGUCCAGCAGCCCUCCGAGCACGGGGACCUUGACGUCGGGCGCCGCGAGUGUCGCUCAGCUUGCGGGCGGUUGCGACGCGCCGGCGGAGGCUAUGCCCAGGUGGCCCUCUGGCUGUAGCGGACGCCGCGAGGCCUGCGUGGGAAGCCCCAGGACGCGGAGCUGGUGGAGAACUGCACUCCCCGUUUCUAUCCAUUUUCUCCUCCUGAAAUGACAAGAUGCCAGAGGACGGCUGGGGAGAGAACUGGAGGAAACUAGUUAGGGCUUCAGAUUGACCCCGCAGCAGUGUCUGCUCCCGCAUGUCAGGCUUGUCCAACGCGCUUUCACAGACAGGAGCCUCUUUUUUAAAAGCAAGUAUUGAAUUAAGUGAUCAGGAGGAAACAGCGUACUCUCUGCAACCCCAGUUCUCAUGUAGUAUGGGUUUUCUGGUGAACAGCACAGCUCCAUUUGUUAGAAGACUCACUUCACUUUCAAUUGCAACCAAACUAGAUAGCAAUGCCAGACUGUAAAUGCCAGCUUUAAAGAAAGCUUCUUUACUUUAGACAAGCUACAUAGAACAGCUUGACAUUUUCUCCAAAGCUUAGAACCCACCAAGAGUCCGUGUUAUGAAGAGGAGAUUCUAGAACAGACCCUUCAAUUUCUGGAUUUUAAGUCAGCUUUAAUUAAUACUUUUCUGGUAUAUGUUAAUUUUCAAAAUUAAUUUUUUAAAAUAUUUAUUUUAAAUAUUUUUAAAAUUGUUGAUGGACCUUUGUUUUAUUCAUUUAUUUUUAUGUGGUGCUGGGAAUUGAACCCAGUGCCUCACACAUGUGAGGCAAGUGUUCUACAACUGAGCUACAAUCUCAGCCCCCUUAACUAAUUUUUGAAGUUUGAGUUUGUGCACAUGAUCCUAGAUUAAAAUAGUGUAUUAAGUGAGGAGUAUAUGGGAGAAAUAAUUUUGCAUUUGGUUUGUACAGAUGAACCUUGUCUCCAAAUUAAUAGAUCUUUUGUUUGUUUAGUUUCACUAAUGUUGAGACAUUAAGAAUCUGGCAUCCUAAGUUUUCUCCUACACCUACUUAAGAACUUUAAAGAAUGUUUUUCUAUAUUGAACUGUGGGGUGGUAAAGCAAACUGUGGUCUUGUAUUUAGAAGGCAGCAGUGAUUAUGUGCUUCGAAGGGCCUUGAGGUUAAGGGUCCCUGUAACAAGGCUGAGUGAGCCUCAUGUUAUCCCUGUUUUAUAGGCAGGAAAACCAAUAUGGAGCUGCAGGGCCUGAGCCUGAGCUGGAAGCCAGGUUUUCUGUUAUACCUGGUGCCAAAAGUGGCUGCCCCAUGGUGUUUCCCUAGCUGCUACCUGUUCGCCUGCUGGUUUCUAAGCAACCUCAACAUGAUGCACACUGGUGUAUCUGCUUGAAGCCACAGAUCACCAGUUGGCUGAACCUUUGACCUUCCAGUUGACCUCUGACUUGUGAUACUUUACCAAUUCCUUCCUCAAACUCCAUGGCUGCAGUUAACAUCUCAGUGUCCUGUAUUUCCUGCCUCUCUUCUGCUCCUCACCCUCCUGUGUUGGCUCUUCAGCCCUUUCCCAUGCUCACCUCCAGUUUCCUAAGGAUUAUGACCUUGGUUCUUCUGUUAUGCUUGCUCUUGGGGGGGGGGGGGGGUGUCUCAUCCAUCCCAGGACAAUCACUGGUUACCUGAGCUGGAACUUGGACACCAUCCUUGGGCUCACCCUUCACCUCCGGAUUGGGCCUGUCACUAAGUCCUGUCCAUCCUGCCUCCUAAAUGCUUCUCCAGCAAUGCAGCCAUUCAUUCCAGCUUACCUGGUGUCCUAAUUGCUCUCCGAGCCUCCAGUUUUCCCUUUUCUUCACUCACUUUAUAGCCAAAGUGUCUUUUUAAGAAGCGAGAGGCAUGGUGGCACACCUCACUCAAGUGUUCAGGGUUCUGCAUUGUUCUUGGCAUAAAGUUCAGACUCCAACCUACACCAGCCUCACAGCUUGCUCCCACCCCCAACCUCUUUGCUGGGCCUCCUGCUUCUGGCUCAAGUGUGAUGCCCUCCACCUGAGUGAUCUCUCCCCUCUCACCAUCCAGGACAGUUUCAUUUUGUUCCAGGAUUCUAUCACCUCUUCACCCCACCCCUGCAGUUUCUUUUCAGCCUCCUUUUAACACUUGUGUAAGCACCUUGUAUAGGUUUCGCUAGUGCCACUUGUGCAGCUGCUGUUGGAUCUGCCUGCCCGGACCUCUCAUUCCCCUCGACUGUGUGUCCUCCUCUGUCUGCUGCAUGGCCAGCAUGGGCUUAGCCUGUGGUAGAAGUUUCUGUAUUUAUAUGGAGUGAUAGCCAUGCCCUGAAGCACCCCGAGCAGAAUCUCUAGCCCCAUACGCAUAUUCAGUUAUAAAGAACACACAUCAUUUAGCCAUCUUGGUAGACAUUGCCAUCUGGAUGGCCCACAGCCGUGUACCGGCAAGCUCAGAGCCGCACUUGAUAAUCUGCUUAUUCUUUCCUUCUCUACCCUACUUAAAGGGACUGUCAGCCCUGUUAACCAAGCCAGAAACAUAGUUAUUUCUCUCAACUUCUGCAUUUGACUGACACUAGUCUUAACAGUCUACCUCUUAAACGUCCCUUGGAUCCGUCUUCAACAGUGCUGCUUUGGCUGUUCCAGGCUCCCAGCCCCUCUGGCCAAUCUAGCUGCUCCACCCAGUUCCAGCUUCGAUUUUGCUUCCUUCUCUUCCCACUCACUUAACCCAUUUUCAAUUAGAUUCCUCUUCCUAAGCACCGAGAUGAUCAACCUGCUUUCUAGUUGCUACCACCCUUCCAUGGCUUCCAGUGAUCUGAAGCUUCAGCACUGGUCACGGCCUGUCCAGUGCUGCCGGGUGGCUUUCUCUCUGCCUGACCCAGGCCACUUCACUCCCUCCUCCUCUCCGAGCUCCCUGGAUUCAAUGUGAAUGACACAUCUGAUUUCUCUUACAAGCGUUAGACCAAAGCCAUCUCCUAUUGGGCUUGACAUCACCACAGCAUUUACCCAUCUCUUCUUGGCAGCUCAAAGGUCUGUGUGCUCUUAUGGUGUGGUGUCCCAGAGCUUUGGGCCGUUGCUAGGGCUGUUGCUUUCGAGCCAGCUGAUCUGGCUGGUUGGCGUUUUUCCUUAGAAACUGGUUUACAGUGGUGUCCAACACUGUGGUGUUAGUAAUACUAUAAAAUUCAGUUUGUCUGCAUUUCUUGUGCCAAACAAACACAGCCUUUCAUAAGUUGGGGGAGGGAAGUCUGCAUGGGAUUUAAAACAAGCCUCUCCAUAUUUGGAAGUGGGAAGUUUUACUCAGCUGUGAUUAUCAUUUCAUUUCAAACGCAGAGCUUUCAAAUAUGGAGAUCCAAAUUUGCCCAACCUGUGGUUUGGGUAGUUGUCCCUUAAAAAAUCUAGGCUGGAGUAGAGCGUAGGGAUCAGUUUCCUAUGACUGCUGCAACAAAUUACCCCAAAUGUGGUGACUUAAAGCAACACAAGUCUGUUCUUCCACGGUUCUGGAGGUGGGCGUUGAAGUCGUAUCACCAGGCUGAGGUCAAGGUGUCAGGGGGACCUUGUGGGGAGAGUCCAUUGCCAUCUCUUCCAGCUCUCGGAGCAGCUGGCAUUCCUGGGCUGUGGUGGUGUCACUGCGUUCCCAUGUCCAUGGUAACUGUUGCCUUCUUCUGUCUGCCUCUCAUGGAAAGCUGAGAAGGCAUUCUGAGCCUAUGCAGAUACUCUCCUCAGCUCAAGAUUUUGAAUUUAACCACAUCUGCAAAGAUCACCGGGUUUCAGGGACCAGGACCUGGUAUUCACAGGGUCAUUCUUCAGCCUGCUGCAGAUGAAAACGCUGUUCCUAUAUGUAAAUAACUGGGAGUGACUUCUGCAAAGUAAAUGACAGAAAAGGGAAUGGAAAGUGGGGGAAAUUAAGGAAGGUGGUAAGUGAUAGAAUGCUGUGAAAAUGGCCUCUUCUGUGUGGCCACCACUUCAGACACAAGUAGGCCCCAAACUGGAAGGCUCUGGCCAUGGUACUCUCAGCAUGUGUGAAGUUGGGUUGGGUCAAGUGUUGAUCUCACAACCAGGAAGCCCUGUCUUUAAAGAUUACCAUAAAAAAGGUAAGGGAGACUAUUAAGCUGAGGACACCCCCCGCCCCAGCGGUGUGCUGGUGUUCUCUGAAGGGCCUUGCUUCCCACUUCUCACCACCAGUCCUCAUAGCCUUACUCGUGGACCUUGGAGUCCCCAGCUCAGCACCUCGCUGAUAAUAACCAAAUAGCACCAACAACUCCACAGCAGUUUCUAGCAACCCUUUUGCCCUGAGGAAGAUGGUGAGAGGACUUGGGUGUGUGUGAGUGUGUGAAAUGGCAAUAGUGAUUCUAUUUGAUUACAAACUUUGUGCACAGUAAGAACAUGGAUUUAGAUGCUCUUUCUUCUGUGCUGUUCUAUAAGUUUCUAUCAUGAAAGGAAGUGAGGAAUAUAAUUCCUUUAAAAUUUGCACCACGGGAUUUCUUUGGUAAAGAAAGAUGGAUGCUCCUGUCUCCAGUGUUUGGACUGGGGUGAAGAAUGACAGCUACUGUUUAACAAGUGUCUGCUGUGUGCCCCUAACUGUGAACCCAUCCUCCCAGCCACUUUGUUCCUUAGGAAUAAUGAUUCCCACUUUACAUGCUGAGAAAGUGAGGCUCAUAAAGACCAGAAAGAGGAAGAAUGGAAGUCGGAACCUUCCAACAGCAAUGCCUGUGACCGUCACUAUGUCAAGCUGCUCUGAAAUACUUCAGAUAUAGUUGGUUGAGUUCAUUAACUGGUCAGCCCUUGAUCUCAUUUUCUUCUUAAUGGGAAGGGGGGAAUCCAGAGCACAGCACUUUGAUUAGAUGAGUUGGAAAUGGAGAAAUGUGUAUAUAACCUGGAGCAAUUGGGAAGCAAAGGGCUCCCGCUGCAAGGCCUGUGUGUGAUCAGGGAAGCCAUUGAUGAACUAGUUAUUCUGCAAAGAGGACAGUGUGGAGAGAGGGAACAGGUUCUGUCUUGUGCCUUUGCUGUGAUUGUUCCCCUGAAGUGGCACCCCCUUUCUCCACAGAAAAGCCCUCUUCACCAUGGCUGAUUUUAGGACUGUCAGCAAAAGAGUCCAAUGUAGAUAAACUUCCUAUUUUCAUGUCGCCCUGUUUACUUGGCCACUGGCCUGGGAGACACCAGCACUCCAGGUGCUGGACACCCCUUACUAGCUUUUCACAAACAUGUAUCCAGUAUAGUAGUUUGUAGAAAUGUGCAAACAAGACCUCUGGCCUUGAGCUGGGCUUCACAGAGAUGUCAACAUUUCUAAGAUAAGUUACAAUUGGGCUCCAUGGUAACAGCUGGCAGGGGAGGAAAGAGAGGGGAGAAGAAGCUCCCCCCUUCUCAGGUGUUUUCCUUGAAGGGUUAACGUGCCCAGAACAGUGAGAGAAAAAGCUGCUUUUAUGUGAACUUCUGCAGACUGUGAACUUCUGAGCCCCUCCCCUUACACGCUGGGUAUAAAACUCUGAAACUCCCUGAACUCGGGGUUCAGGGGAUUAAUUGAUUACAGCAAAAGCUGUGCCCUCUGAAUCUGGCUGUAGCCAAAUAAAACUGUUUCCUGCUGUCUUCGGUACCUUGCCUCCUUUGUCCCUAUGACACCCCCAGCAGGUUUUGGGAGAGAUGAUCUCUCCCCUCAAGGAAUGGGCAUCCUCUCCAGGGAAACAAAUGGGAACUGUUGAUGCAAGUGGUGAGUGCCGUGAGCCUCUUGUACUGAGGGUUCUGGGGCGGGGGGGCGGGGGGUGCCCGCUUCUCCCAGGCCCGACACUGAGCAGGACUGUGGCCAACAAUGGCAAUACCAGGACUUGUCCUUGCAGUGCGUGGAGUGCCCUGGCCAGGGCCUGAUGGAGAUGGGGUCAUCAGCAACCCCUUUCUGUGCAAUGGCAACAGCUCCAAGGGUCCAGCUUUCUCCCUGACAAAGGACCUGCUGACUCCUGGGCAGGUGGGGAGCCGGCAGUCGCUGCUCUGGAUUUGAGGCUGAGAUCCUAGGCUGUGGAGAAGACAAUGAACUCACCAUAAAACGUUCAUCCAGGCAGCUCUUGCUACAUGUCUACAGGGGAAAUGUCACUGUUCCUCCACUGUGGCAUUUCAGAGCAGCGGAGUGUGUCUGUUGGGUUUGGACCCCGAGCUUCAUGUGGUGCUGCACACAUAACCAGUGGCUGGCCAAAAUGCUGACUGAGUGAUUGACCCCAGGCUUUUCUGAAACCACCAGAGAUGGAAGUGGCCUUUGGUUUGGUUUUCUGUUUUUGCUCUUGGGUCAUGGAGACUUUAGAGUUUACCCCUGCGCUGGUGAGAGUCAGCUUGUUGGCUCUGGUUCCGUGUCAGUCCCUCACUGAGAAGAGAAAUGUGGUGCACACUUCUGACGUGUCUACUGCACUUCACCAUCACCAGAACUGUUUAGUUUAGUGUACUUAUAAAUUCAAUCCAUGUUUACCCUCAAAUUUUUCUUAAAACAUCCAUUUUGGAGCAAGACUUUAUAAAAUAUUGCAGAACUUCCACCUGAAGUGUGCUUACGGAGCACUUUCCUAAAAACUGGGCCCAGUGAUCUCAUCGGCUUUCUCAACUGAGAGCAGCCGCCCUUGUGCCCCACUCCCGGGGUGGAGGUGACUCAGUGGAUUUGGUGCACUGUCUGUCUCCCAUACCUGUGAAGUCACCACUUCUAAAAAUAUGUGCUCUGCCCCCACUGUGCUUUUUUCUCAAGGUAGCUAAUGAUGGUUAAAUUCCAGCACUUGGAAAGUUCUUGGGUGAGAAUGGCCAGUGAUGGAGAACCACCGAGUCGUCCCCCGUGGUUUUAGUCUCCUGUGGAAUUCAUUUUACAUGCGGUUGGUUGUAGCAAGUCUAGAGUUUCCAAAUAACACUUGGAAGUAUGCCCAGUACUUUACCUCGUAAAAAUCAACUACAUUUUAGAAAUGAGGUGAUAGCAGCAUGUGCCAGGACAGUAGGGUGGCCCCGCUAGGCACCCCUGUGACGUCUGACGUCCUUCUCAGAUCUAGUGCUCCCUUGGGAUCAGUGCACUGGAGUGAUUAUUUGGUGCCAUCAUCUGCAGGAAAGUCAGACUUCGCUCUCUUCCCACUCUAUCGUAGUGAAUGCUCUUGAUGCCAGAUGUGCGGGGGUUUUCCACACACCAAGCAAUCAGAGCUGCAGCAGUGGACACAGCUGGAUGUCCUCUAAUUCAGUUCUGACACCAGCUACCUGGAAGUGGCGGUAGGUCCCACAGGUUGAGGGUUCUAGAUGCAAGUCCCGGGGUUCUCACAACCUCUGCUUGCGUUGAACUGAUCGGUAGACGGGCUCACAGAACUCAGGGAAGUUACUUUCAGUUUAUUGGAAAGGAUAUUCUGAAGGACCAGAUGAAUAACUGUGGAGGACGAGGUGCAGGGAGGGGUGUAGCACUUCCAUCACUCCUGAGGUGCUGCCCCCAGGAGCCUGCCUGUGUUCAUCUCCAACAGCUCUCCAAACCGUGUCCUUUGGGUUUUCAUGGAGGCGUCAUUGCAUAGGCAUGACUGAUAAACCAUUGGCCCUUGGUGAUCAACUUAACCUUCUGCCCAACCCCUCCCUAGUGGUUGGGGCUGAAAGUCCCUGCAAUCCUACCUUCCUCUUCCCCAUGCCCACCCGCAUCCUGAAGCCCUGGGGGCUGCCAGCCAGCAGUCAGCUCACUAGUACACAGAAAGAUUUCACUUACCGCUUUUAAGAUUCCAAGCAUUUUAGGAGCUAUGCACCAGCAAAGGGGGAGGAAGGUCACUUCACAAUACCAUGGUAUGGAUAUCGAGAUACUAUUGUACUGUCUUAUCAGCAGCAUAAUAAUCUAAAAUUAGGCCCUGUGUUCUCUCCCAGGUGUUUGAGGUCAGUCAUCAGAAUUGGAUGCUAGAGCAGACCCUCCUCCCAGUGCUGCAAGGGAGAGGCCUCGCCACUUUCACGGAUGCCAAGAAAAAUCAAGUGGCCACAAGACAACUCAGCCACAGUAGAGACAUUAGUUGUUUUUGUUUGGGGCUGUGGGGAUUAAACCCAGGGCUUCAUACCAGCUAGGCACAUGCUCUACCACUGGGCUAUGCCCGGCCCAGCAGGCAUUGUAUCAGCAUGCCACUGACCUUCAAAUGGGACCAAAGACACACUAAAAUACAGAGAACACACAGAAGCAGACAUUAUGCCAGCGAUUUGUCAGCAAGUGUAAGCGUGAACAGCAGACUGGCGCAGGUCUGGUUGUACCGCGGGGACACACUGCCUUCGGUGGAAGAGCCUUCUAACCCCAGGCCUGGAACUUGUCGUGAAGUAAAGAAGGUGCACCCGGAGCCUGAGAAGCACCAUUUACUUCUGAAAUGAAGAAGGAGGAACCAAGAAAGUGUCCUUGGUUAGAGUGAAUGGAGAACGUGAGCUGUAGCGUAGGGACUUUUCUAGGCACAGCUAGUGUGUGUGGGACACAGCCAUACAAGGGGCACCUAGAGGCAGAUGUGCCAUAUUCAGAGCAUGAUGUGGGGUGGUGAGUCCUCAGGGGAAAGGCCAGCUCCCGGAGGUCCCUGCAGGUCUCUGUACCUGCUGGUCCUCAUUGGCGAAGUGGGGACACUGCAGUCAACCUCUGUGGGCUGUGUGUGAGGACUGAGAUGAUAAAGCUAAGGAGCUAACACAGUCCCUGGCACAAGGAGGCUCUGAACAAGAGUUAGAGAGACUAGUGUUUCUUCUAAUGGCCAGACAACGGCCUCGGGACUGAAACCAUGUCAAAGGAAAGCCACCUGAUGUGGAGAGCACACCACAAAGUGGACGUGUCCGGGCAUGAAGAGUGAGGAGCCAGGGGCAAAGGGGAGCUGAGUCAGCCGUGCUCCAAGUCUGGGGAGACAGAAAACCACAUCCAGACCCACAAAGAGGCCGUAAGACGAAGACAACCUGCUUGACUUGUAUGAUGACCAACUGAUAGAAUUUGCUCAAAAUAUCAUAUUUUCACAUUUAUAAAAGCUGGGGAAAGUGAAAAUUAGUACUUAUAGAAAGAUUCAAAGAAAUUCAAUCCAAAGGUAGGAUGUUUGUAGAGGCUGCUUGCUGAAGUGGUUUUAAAUUUGGGCAGGUUAGAAAUCUUAAAUAAAAAUUACAGGAGGCCAUUGUUUUGGAUUGGGCUCCUGCACUAGGCCCUACAGGCCAGGCUAAAAAUCAAAAUGGAGGCAUUUAUGCUAAAGUUCCAAAUCACCAGCUGAAACUGGGAAUAAGGGUCAGAGGGAAAACCACCAAGUUUCCCAAACAGGCCAGUUUCAACUGGUGUGAUGAUGAAGAUCCCUCUGCCUUGAUCAUCACUCAAAAAAGGUGACCUGAGAUGACCCGCUCCCUGCCCCUGCCUUCAGGGAAAGUGACUUUGCAAUGACCAAUCUGCUUUUGCUCUUUGCUUCUCCUCAAGCCCUCCCUGUUUGUAAAACCAGCCUCCCUCGCCUGGUCCCGCCGACCACUACUUCUCUCAUAUGGAAUAAAGUGUUGCCCAAUCCCAGGAUCAUUACACUAGUGAUUUUAUCCUUUGACAGAAGGACCCCAAAAUUGACCACAGAGGGUAAUAAUGGGGCAAAUGUAGAAUCAUUGAUCAUCAGGACUAAAUUACCUUUCAGAGCUUGGCACUAACUACUCGGACAACCUUCCACAGGAAAACUGGAACUCUGUAGAAGAAUUUCACGUUGCCAAUAGACCUUAUGGUUGUUCUCUGUUUGGGCACAUGAUCCCUGAGUGUAGCAUUGUCCUGUCUGCAGGGCAGGUGAUUGAAAAACCUCUGGUCCACCUUCAGAGGCCUCUGGUCAGCAUGUGUGCUGCUUUGCAGUUUCUUCUUUGACCCUCCAACCAGAGCAGCACCCAGCAGCUCCCCAGGUGCAGGACAGACCUCUCACUGGCCCACUAUGUAGAGGUUCCUUAUGAGCCUGUGCAUACACUCAAGUUACGACAGCUUUCUGUCCCCGUGCCCACGCUGGUGUUCUCCCACCUGGCCCAUGUUUACUCGUACAACCACAUUGGGCUUCAAGGUGGGGGCCUGUAUCACCAGCCCAACUCACAGAGACUCCAGAACUUGGGAGCUGAUCCCCAGCAGGAAGCACCAAGCUGUUGGCUCUGGGUUUGGAGGAGGUGGGGAAAUGGCUGGAGAAUCAGGAAGCAGGAGACUCAGAAUAAAACCUGGAGGGCAGGUGGAAUUUCAACAGUGAAGCAGGAGUGUCCUCCUGCCUCUCUUGCAUUAGCCAAGGGAUGCAGGAUGGGGCUGAUCCAACUCACUUCAGGCUCUUUGACCGCCAUGGCUCACAGGGCAGGGCUAACUGCAGUUCAGGUGACUGGCACAUCUCCUGCCCUGUGGUUUCACCCUGUCUGGAAACCCUUUUCUCUCAGGAAACUAAUACAAGCAACAUCUCUUAGUGCUUAAUGGAGAGGUUGUGCACCAAACCAAGUCAUCGUGGUCUCUCUGGGGAUCCACCGCAAGAGCUUGACCUAGUGACCAGAGCAGAGGAAGUAAGCUGUGAGCACUCGGACACUUCUUUAGGGUCUGACUUCUCGGGGUUUUUCAUUCAUUUGUUCAUUUGACAAAUAUUCGUCUCAGCCAUUUGAAUUCCAGGAUCUACGGAAGCUGGACAGGGACGAGGACAUGUCCGGUCCUGCUGUCAUCUGCUGCCUGGGUGCUGGUUCUCCUCUGGGACUCUGUCUGCCAGUUUUAGCUCUGACCUGAAGCCCUGCCCAGCUGCCUUCUCCCUACUUCUCCCAUGCUCUGCUCCAAGCCAAGGGGCUUCCUGUACCCUUUCCCCCGACCCUGCCAGCGUGGUCCUCCUCCCGGGAGGUAGGUGCAUGCACACCUGAGCUUUCACUCGUGUUCUGGCUCCACACCCCAACUCUGGGCAGAUGGGACAGCCAUUCUCAGUGGGGUUCUUCCUUAGACAUGCAGGCGACCCUCUGUCCGUGAGCUCCAUAUCCUCAGAUCCAAUCAACUGCACAUUGAAAAUAUUUGAAGAAAAAUCUGUACUGAACAGAUUUUUUUGGUCAUUAUUCCCUAAAUGAUACGGUGUGGCAACUAGUGACCUAGUACUCAUAUCGCAUUAGGUGUCAUAAGAAACCCAGAGGUGGUCUAAAGCACACGGGAGGGUGAGUGUAAGUUACACGUAAACCUCAUGCAUUUCACUCAAGCAUCCUGAGCUCUGUGGAAUUUGGUAUCCCAGAGGGUCCUGGAACCCAUCCCAUACAGAGAUUGAGGGAUGACUGCUGUCAUGGUUUAGAUGUGAGGUGUCCCCCCAAAGCUUACAUGUGAGACGAUUCAAUUCACCUAUUAGUGCAUAAAUCCCCUGAUAGGGUUAAUCAGCUGGAGACCCAGGCAAGUGUUGAAGUUUGGAUGUUAACUGUAGGCAGGUGGUAUCUGGCUGGAGAAGGUGGCUCAUUGGGGCAUGCCUUUGGGGGGUGGGUGUGCGUGUGUGUAUGGUUUUUUGUUGUUGUUGUCGUUGGUACCAGGGAUAGAACUCAGGGGCACUUACCAUUGAGCCACAUCCCCAGCCCUUUUUUUUUUGUAUUUUAUUUAGAGACCGAAUUGCUUAGGGCCUCACUAAGUCGCUGAGGCUGGCUUUGAAAUUGCAAUCCUCCUGCCUCAGCCUCCCAAGCUGCUGAGAUUCCGGGAGUGUAUAUUUUGUCCCUGGUCAGCAGCGCUCUCUCUGCUUCCUGGUGCCAUGUCCUGAGCUGCUUUCUUCCUCCCCACACUUCUGCCAUGAUGUUCUGCCUCACCUCAGCCCCAGGGAAUGGAGUGGCCAUCUAUGGACUGAGCUCUGAAGCCAUGAGCUCUCUUCAAAUAAACUUUUUCUCCUGUAAUUGAUCUUGUCAGGUCUUUU